UAUUUACAUAUCAAAUGUUAUCCACUUUC
rnacentral:piRNA from 1 species